rnacentral:rRNA from 1 species
UACGUAGGGGCCUAGCGUUGUCCGGAUUUAUUGGGCGUAAAGAGCUCGUAGGCGGUUUGGUAAGUCGGAUGUGAAAUCUCCACGCUCAACGUGGAGGCGCCAUCUGAUACUGCCAUGACUCGAGUCCGGUAGGGGAGUGUGGAAUUCCCGGUGUAGCGGUGAAAUGCGCAGAUAUCGGGAGGAACACCCGUAGCGAAGGCGGCACUCUGGGCCGGUACUGGACGCUGAGGAGCGAAAGCGUGGGGAGCAAACAGG